GAAAUUAUGAUGCGGUGAGAGGGGCAGCAUGGGCGGAUGAGGAGCAACUUCAACACCUAUGUUUCUCCGCGUCACCAGCGCCGCCAGGUGAUGUCGCCAGAGGUACUACGUGCUCACGCCACCGCCAACAGUCCACAGGGUUAAAACAGUAAAUAUGAGCAAUGAGUCCCUAGAAGACUUUUUGAACGACAGCCACGAUGAUGAACGCUUCCUGCAGCACUCUGGACGUGUCGCUCGCUCUUGCCUCAGUGACGACUCUCGCCUCACUCUCGCCUCGUCAGCAGAUAUCUAGGUCUGCGAUGCACAAAACAAGGAAAUGACGCUUGGCUGGAUCAGCAGAGGAGCCGACACCGCACAGCUCGGCGCUCUUCCCCUGUGCCUGAGCAACACUGCGCUGACACGUCUGUCCGAUGCAGGGAGGAGACAGCAAGCGAGAGGCGAGGCUGGGCGGAGUGUGGACAUGUCAAGCAGUCAGUGUUCUUAACUAGAGUAAAUACAAUUGAGAAAAGUAAUAUACGUGGGGAAAAGGUUUUCAGUUCAGGUUUCCCAUGAGAUGAAAGUAAAAGGCAUGUAGAAAGGUUUGGGUAAGCAAUUACAGAUUCAAUUAUGGUAGAAUGUUUGUGGAAAAGGGAAAUUGCUACAUGUGAAGUGUCUUGUUGGGGCAAUGGAAGUAAGUGAAAGGAAGGAGAGGCUUUGCUGAGUCUAGCCAUGUCCGAGUAUUACUGUACGUAAUUAGGAUAGAGUUGUGAGAAGAAUUUUUUUUUUAUUUUUUAUUUCUACUCAUAUUUCAAUAGUUCUAGAUAUAAUACCUUCACAUAUAGCAUGUGACAUGGAGGGUGUAUUUCACCUGUUAAUUUUUAGAGUGAUUUUUAUAUUGUGUACCCUUUACUUUCCGUUUUCUUUCACGGUUAAGGCUGCCUAUCGUUCUCUCUUAUGAUAGACUAUGGUAUCUCGCCUGGGGUCGAUUCACCUCGCAAACUUUGCACAUUUUCAUUCUUAUCUCUGUUAUAUUUGUGUACUUUAAUUCCUAAACUGGGUGUAUACCUUGAAUGGACACUGCUACUGUGUCAUGCGUAUAAUCACGUUGAAGAAAGUAGCCUAUCAUGUUUACGGAUUCAGGUUUUUUUUUUCCUCUCAAAGUCCACCAGAUUUAUACAUUUAAUAUGUGAAAGGAGUGGUUGUAACCCCCUUAGAGGGCUGGGGAUCCACCUACCAUAGUUCCACAACGCAGGGUUACCAAGCAGCCCUUCGCAUGAGGCCCCAGAAUGCCAGAAACAGCCCUUGUUAUGCGAGGAAAAAAUAUUGAGUGACUUGUGAUGUCAGAGUAAAAAAUGAAUAAUGGAGAGGAAAGGAAAUAUUUUGAUCAGCACGUAACAAAUGAAAUAUCUUAACACAGUACAGUUGAUAAUGAAACACUGGGUCACUGCAUGCGAAGCACCACAGAGAGUACCGUUUCUCACAUCUUGAUCAAGCACCAAAUAAACACAUGAAACACGAGAUGUAAAGACGAUAGUAAUUGCUAGGACGAUUCUAAGUAUUACUCAUGACCAUGGCGAGGUACAAAGCAACCAGCCACCCGCCUGCCUUCAUGGCUCCAUUAUCUGAGAGUGCAACACCUCGGCACACGACCCUCCUGCUGUCUCCUGGUGUCUGCCUGCUGUGUGCCUGCGCUUCGCCUUACCUUCGGUGCGCUACACAUAUCUACGUACACAUAUCUACGUCCAUAAGGCCUAUAUCUCGCUUCAGAAACUCAGGAAACUCACUCCUACAAAAGCGUGUCCGUCAGCUCCCCUGCGCCACUAACCACCGAUGCACUGAGGGAAGCAGCGCCACUCACGCAGUCAUCACUCUUAACCUUGGCACCAGACUGAGUGGUGUGUUGGGCCGACACUCAAGGGGAUGGCCUCGGCUCCGCGUGUGCUGUCGUUAACCUCAACAGCUCAAUGAGGGCUGUCUUGGGAGGCCAGACUGCUUGCGCCGUCAUUGGUCUUGUGGAGGGCGGUGACGCGGCUGGUGUCAGUACUGCAAGAAAU